rnacentral:misc_RNA from 1 species
GGAGGAGGAGGAGGAGGAGGAUGAGGAAAGGCUGCACAUGGGGUGGAGGAGAGAUUGAGAGUCUUCACAAUAAGCUUGAGGUAAAGACAGCCCCAGUAACUGUUUGGACAUAAAAAAAAACUCAGGGAUGGAUUCAAAACAUUCAAUUGUCCCAAUUAUAGAUUCAACAAACAACAGAGUGAAAUGACAUUUUCAUCAAAGAAUUGGGUAGACGCACAUGUAAACAUGAAAAGAUAUGUUUAAUUAAUAAAAAGAUGAAAUACAAUAUUAGAAUUAUGCAUUUGAUGCAAACAAUCUAUGUGUAUUUAUUGGAUUCUCCACUUCAGAUCUCAUAUUUUCUCUUUGGACGGGAUGAUAUUUACAAGGCCCAUCAUGUUCUGCACAGUUCUAUUUACCAUCAAAUUGAUCAAGCGGAGAUCGCCAACAAGCAACCACUGAAAGGUGGGUUUUUUUCGUCCUAGCUUGCCUGACAGGCAUAAACAUGUUGUUGGCUUAUUGUUACUUAUUUUAGUAGGAUGAUCAACUAACAACCUAAAAUUCAACAGAUUUAUGUCAAACCUACCAAGCCUCAUCCAAGUUCUCGCAUUAAGCAGCAAAGAGCCUUCUUUUGCAAUUAAGCACCAUCAAGGAGCUGUUUCCUUCGAUCCAUAAAAAUAUUAAUUUUCUAAUUAUUCUUAUGAAGUUUUUACAAGAGUUUUCCAUAGUCUUACACAUACACAGGUCUGAUGUUUAGCAUUGUCCAUUACCAUAGUCCAUGUGGUUUAGCAAUAAAUUUGUACAGGUGUUGUGUGUAAAUAUCACUCUCCUGGUCGACCACCUUAACAAUAGCAAUCACUUUGAUAUGCUAUCAACCAUUUGAUAAUGUUCCAUGUCUUCAUUCCAGGGGCAAACUCUUGGAGAAACAUGAUCCAACAAAAUGCAGUUAUCAUCUGUGCUUCACUUACACCAGUAAAUGCACUCACACAAGCUGAGGCAAAGUGCCUAGCAUCAAUUGAAAAGUUGGUACAUAUAACUACCAGCAGCAUGUCAUAUUAAACUACAACCACUGAUAGAACUGCAAUGGUAGCAUUAUAAGCACAGUGCCAAGUCAAUAAUUCUAUAAGACCAACUUCUAUCAUUGUUGAAGCUGUCACAUCAAAGUUAGCAACAUCUGCAGUUACUGCCACAGAAUUAGGACACUCCCCCUUCCCAUUCUCUUUUCAAUUCUCUCUCUAUUGCAUGCUAUUUGCACCACUCCACCUGAUUCAAAUCAGUCCAGUCCAACUUCAUGUAAGUGAUCCUCUAACGAU